rnacentral:rRNA from 1 species
GAUUCAUAAUAACUAAACGAAUCGCAUGGCCUUGCGCCGGCGAUGGUUCAUUCAAAUUUCUGCCCUAUCAACUUUCGAUUGUAAGAUAGAGGCUUACAAUGGUCUUAACGGGUAACGGGGAAUUAGGGUUCUAUUCCGGAGAGGGAGCCUGAGAAACGGCUACCACAUCCAAGGAAGGCAGCAGGCGCGCAAAUUACCCAAUGCUAAUUCAGCGAGGUAGUGACAAUAAAUACUGAUACGGGGCUCUUUCGGGUCUCGUAAUUGGAAUGAGUACAAUCUAAAUCCCUUAACAAGGAACAAUUGGAGGGCAAGUCUGGUGCCAGCAGCCGCGGUAAUUCCAGCUCCAAUAGCGUAUAUUAAAGUUGUUGCCGUUAAAAAGCUCGUAGUUGAACCUUGGAUCUGGCUGAUCUGUCCUCCUAAUCGAGCGCACGGAUUCGGUCGGAUCUUUCCUUCUGGGGAACCCUAUGCCCUUCACUGGGUGUAGUGGGGAACCAAGGACUUUUAC